AUUUCAUUCUGCAUUUCAGAUACGAAGGAACAUAUUUUUUUUAUAGUCUACAGGCGAAAUCAACAUGGGCGAUAAUGGCGACCCAGGCCCUUCGUGGCGAGGACGCGGAGGCAGAGGCAACAGGCGGCCGUGGCACAGACCGCACCUGGGCAGAAUUCGGGGCGUGAGCCCGCCGGCGAGAGGCCACAACCGGUCCCCGAGUCCCGAACCCUAUGGCCAUCAUAAACGGAACCAACAACAUGAACAAAGCAGACGACGAAACUAUAGCCACAAGUCUCCGCCUCGAAAAAGGUUCAAAG